ensembl:rRNA 5S_rRNA 5S ribosomal RNA
GUCUACAGCCCUACCACCCUGAAUGUGCCCAAUCUCAUCUGAUCUUGGAAGCUAAGCAAGGUCAAGCCUGGUUAGGCCUGGUUAGUGCUUGGAUG